rnacentral:rRNA from 1 species
CACGUAGGGUGCGAGCGUUGUCCGGAAUUAUUGGGCGUAAAGAGCUCGUAGGCGGUGUGUCGCGUCGGCCGUGAAAACCUGCAGCUUAACUGUGGGCUUGCGGUCGAUACGGGCAUCACUGGAGUUCGGCAGGGGAGACUGGAAUUCCUGGUGUAGCGGUGAAAUGCGCAGAUAUCAAGAGGAACACCUGCGGCGAAGGCGGGUUGCUGGGCCGACACUGACGCUGAGGCGCGAAAGCUAGGGGAGCGAACGGG